AUGACCUUCAUCUUUCGUUCUUCAAUCACCAUUCUCCACCCAAAGGAAAUUCUGCAAGAGGCUCUCUCAAGAAAUCCUUCCGUGUUCUUCACUUCAGACACAUCAAACUUUCUCAGAAUUCCUCACCUUCAUCAUUCAUCACCCUCACCAACAAAUAUGCAUCCUUAUCUAUACCUUCAUCUUCAAUGCAAUCUGCAUCAAGAAUUCGUAACUGCAACGAUAUCACAAGGUCAGAACACAAACAUAAGAAGGAAUCAGGGAAAGGACGAAAUUGAUCGAGAGUGA